ACUAGGGCAAAUGGUACAAUGGAUUUAACAUUUUGGUAGAUAUUGAAGACUUUUUCUACAUGGCGCCAGCAACAAUAAAAACACGAAUCAAUAGUAAAUAAUAACAUUUUUCCCCAACCUUGCUGACAUCAGAUAUUUUCAAGUAUCUCAAUUUUUGACUGUUUGAAAAGUGGAAAAUGAAUCUCACCAUCGCUUUAAUUUUCUUUUAUUUAAUUAUGACUAAGGCUGAUGUUUAUUGACCACAUAUUUCUUUGUGUGUAAAUGUACCUGUACUUUGUUUUUCUCAUUGCGAUUUUUACUUAUUGUUUUGUAGGACUGUUUCACUUGUUUUCUUUUUUUUCCUUAUGACGUGAUCCUCUAAAAACAUAGCCUCUUCAUUAAAAAAAUAUAAAGGCAAAAUCUUCACUUGGUAGGAAAUGUCAAAAUUCAUGCACCUAAUUUUUCCUGAACCAAGGCUGAGAUAUGAAAGUGUCUGCACCAUCUGGUUUUGUGGAAUGGGUUUUGAAAAGUCACCUAGAUUUCUAUGUCAGCAGUACAGAAUGGUUUCUCCAGAAAACUGGUGUUAAAUAUGUCAGCAACAGAAAUCCAGGUGAUAUUUCUUAACUAGUGACUAUAUCUCUAUUCUGAGUUUGUACAGGAAUCACCUAGGAAUCAUUUUUAAACUAGUAAUGCCCAAGCCUCGUUUUAGGCAUACUGAGUUAGAACUUCUAGUGGAUGAGAUGUUUAAUUUUCCGUUAAGACAGGAUAAAAGGCAGAAUUGGAAGUUCAGUAAGAGUAUGGACCUUUUCCAAGCUUAGACGUCUACUAAGAGACAGCACUUGGACUAGCUCUGUUACUCUGGCCCCUUGUCGAGUAUGUCUUUGUUCCUUGUCUUAUGCAUUUUAGGGCACUGUUAGUAUUUCUGAGUAUAUAUUGAUAUGGUUUGGCUUUGUAUCCCAUCUGAAUCUCAUCUUGAAUUCUAAUCCCAUAAUCCCCCAAUGUCAUGGGAGAGACAUGGUGGGAGGUAAUUGAACCAUGUGGGCGGUUACCCCAAUUCUGUUCACGGGACAGUGAGUGAGUUCUCAGGAGACCUGAUGGUUUUAUAAGGGGCUCCUCCCUUUGCUUGGCACUUCUCAUUCCUGACAUCAUGUAAAUGACAUAUUUGCAUCCCCUUCUGACAUGAUUGUAAGUUUCCUGAGGGCCUCUUUAGCCAUGCUUAACUGUGAAUCCGUUAAACUUCUUUUCUUUAUAAAUUACCCAGUCUUGAGUAAUUAUUAGCAGUGUGAGAAGGAACUAAUACAUAUACUAAACAGAGAGAGAAAAUUUGGGAUUUUGGGGGGUGCUC
rnacentral:lncRNA from 1 species